rnacentral:rRNA from 1 species
AUACGAAGGGUGCAAGCGUUACUCGGAAUUACUGGGCGUAAAGCGUGCGUAGGUGGUGGUUUAAGUCUGCUGUGAAAGCCCUGGGCUCAACCUGGGAAUUGCAGUGGAUACUGGAUCACUAGAGUGUGGUAGAGGGAUGCGGAAUUUCUGGUGUAGCAGUGAAAUGCGUAGAGAUCAGAAGGAACAUCCGUGGCGAGGGCGGCAUCCUGGGCCAACACUGACACUGAGGCACGAAAGCGUGGGGAGCAAACAGGAUUAGAUACCCUGGUAGUCCACGCCCUAAACGAUGCGAACUGGAUGUUGGGUGCAACUUGGCACCCAGUAUCGAAGCUAACGCGUUAAGUUCGCCGCCUGGGGAGUACGGUCGCAAGACUGAA